ACGUCGCGCUGCCGGUGCCGGCACACGCCGCCGUGGCCUGAUAGGCCGCGCCCGUCAGGCGCUGUUCGAUCGCCGGCGUCGUG
rnacentral:tRNA from 1 species